rnacentral:rRNA from 1 species
UACGGAGGAUCCAAGCGUUAUCCGGAUUUAUUGGGCGUAAAGAGCUCGUAGGCGGUUUGUCGCGUCUGCCGUGAAAGUCCGGGGCUCAACUCCGGAUCUGCGGUGGGUACGGGCAGACUAGAGUGAUGUAGGGGAGACUGGAAUUCCUGGUGUAGCGGUGAAAUGCGCAGAUAUCAGGAGGAACACCGAUGGCGAAGGCAGGUCUCUGGGCAUUAACUGACGCUGAGGAGCGAAAGCAUGGGGAGCGAACAGG